rnacentral:rRNA from 1 species
CCUGUUUUAUCAAAAACAUGUCUGUUUGUAGAUUUAAAGAGUCUAACCUGCCCGCUGAUAAGAUUAAAUUAAAGGGCCGCGGUAUUUUGACCGUGCAAAGGUAGCAUAAUCAUUUGUCUUUUAAUUGAAGGCUUGUAUGAAUGGUUGGACAAAGAAAAAACUGUCUUUGUAGUAUAAAUUGAAUUUGACUUUUAAGUGAAAAGGCUUAAAUAGGCCAAGGGGACGAUAAGACCCUAUAAAGCUUUAUAUAAAUAUUAUGUUUAUUUAAAUUUAAUAAUGAAAGAGUUUAAUAUAAUAAAAUAUUUUGUUGGGGCGACAUAUAUAUAAUUAAUUAUAACUGUAUAAAUUAAUUACUUGGAUUAUUGGGUAAAGAAUAAAUGGUCCUUAUUAAAGAUUAAAAGAUUAAGUUACUUUAGGGAUAACAGCGUAAUUUUUUUUAAGAGUUCUUAUCGAAAAAAAAGUUUGCGACCUCGAUGUUGAAUUAAAUUAUCUAUAUAAUGUAGUUGUUAUAUAAGAAGGUCUGUUCGACCAUUAAAUUUUUACGUGAUC